UCGAACGCUUCUUUUUCCNCCGGAGCUUGCUCCACCGGAAAAAGAGGAGUGGCGAACGGGUGAGUAACACGUGGGUAACCUGCCCAUCAGAAGGGGAUAACACUUGGAAACAGGUGCUAAUACCGUAUAACAAUCGAAACCGCAUGGUUUUGAUUUGAAAGGCGCUUUCGGGUGUCGCUGAUGGAUGGACCCGCGGUGCAUUAGCUAGUUGGUGAGGUAACGGCUCACCAAGGCGACGAUGCAUAGCCGACCUGAGAGGGUGAUCGGCCACAUUGGGACUGAGACACGGCCCAAACUCCUACGGGAGGCAGCAGUAGGGAAUCUUCGGCAAUGGACGAAAGUCUGACCGAGCAACGCCGCGUGAGUGAAGAAGGUUUUCGGAUCGUAAAACUCUGUUGUUAGAGAAGAACAAGGAUGAGAGUAACUGUUCAUCCCUUGACGGUAUCUAACCAGAAAGCCACGGCUAACUACGUGCC
rnacentral:rRNA from 1 species